AUAUAUUGGGGUGUCGAUUCCACAGGGAGAAGGUAGAAACACUAAAAGAAACUACAAAACUAAGGAGAAAUAUCAAAGCAGUAAAAUGUGAUGUGAAUGUUUAAAAGUAAAUUGACAAUUAGAUUAUAGUAAUAAAGAUAUGACCAGAAUUAAUGGCAGCAAAGCAUCGGGAAUUCCUCACUUGAAUCAGGUAAUUUCAUUCAUAUUUGAUCC
rnacentral:lncRNA from 1 species